rnacentral:rRNA from 1 species
UACAGAGGGGGCAAGCGUUGUUCGGAAUUACUGGGCGUAAAGGGCGCGUAGGCGGCCUUCUAAGUCGAACGUGAAAUCCCUGGGCUCAACCCAGGAACUGCGUCCGAUACUGGAAGGCUUGAAUCCGGGAGAGGGAUGCGGAAUUCCAGGUGUAGCGGUGAAAUGCGCAGAUAUCAGGAGGAACACCGAUUGCGAAGGCAGCUCGCUGGAACGUUACUGACGCUGAGACGCGAAAGCGUGGGGAGCAAACAGG